CAGAGGGACCCUGGGCACCAACAUCACCGUCCUUUCCAGGGGCACCCUGAGUAGAGAGACAGUAGGCUUUUAGACACGCAGGUUCUAUACAGAACAAGAAACCAAACCAGUAGUGUACAAUAGAUUCAAAGAGUAGCAUGGAAUAGACAACUCACAACGGCGCCAGUGGGUCCCAUUACUCCUCUCUCGCCGGGCUUUCCACCCUCACCCUAGAGACAGGAAUAGAAAAGCACCAUCAACAAAGAUGUGGAGACCAUUUCAUCAGAAGCCUUGUUCUCAGCACUGACUGAAAUAUUCCAAAACAUCCGAUUGACGAUACUGCAUAGCAGUUGAGACAUUACUCACAGCGGCUCCCUUGGGUCCGGGGAAUCCCAUAACUCCAGGCUGGCCUCUAGCGCCUACAACGCCAGGGGGUCCGGGUCGGCCAUCUUGUCCAGGGGCUCCCUGUUAAGGAGAAAUAAUUUAGGAUUAAAGUACAGAAACUAAAAAUGUUGCCUAAUUGUUCUGACAAGAUUAGGCUCCGAUUUAUUACUCUGAACAUUAACUUACAGCUGCUCCCAACUUGCCAUCGGGUCCAGGGCUGCCAGGGCUACCAGUCAUACCCUACAGAGCAGAGAUCAGAGGUUAGAGGAAGGCCUGUGCAGUGGUUAAUUGAUAUUUCUGACAAUUACAUGAUAGAUAGUUAGUAGGUUAUCUCACCUUGGCUCCAGGCAGACCAGGCUCGCCAGUACGUCCAGACUCACCAGUGGAACCUUUAGGUCCAACAAGACCAGGGGAACCGCGCUCACCAGGGGCACCCUGUGAUGGGCAGAAAAGGUUUAAUGAAAGGCACAGUUAGGAAUUAAUUGUAGAAAAGCAAUGAUUCGUUAAAACCACACUGUUCUUAAAAGCAUCUCAAAAGUGAACUGGAAAGAUGUAUCACAAGCGUGUGUGUAUGUUUUACUCACUUUAAGUCCAGCAGGGCCAUCAGAGCCAGGGAAACCACGACCACCGGGGCCACCCUGUAGAGAGAAUUAAGCACAUCCUUCUUAGUCCCAAGAGGAAAAGCCAACACUGUUACAUGUAUACUGUUACAUGUAGGUAAAUCUUACUGUACUGUCUAAACUGUCUGCAAAUUUUUAGCAAACUGUUCAAUUUUGCCAUUCUUUAAAACGACACAAUAUAAUUGAUAAAACUGUAUCAAACACUUUGAGGCAAGAUGCAUUAUGGGCCAGAUCUGGGGGACUUAAGAGGCAGCUGCAGUUAGGCAUCUGUGACAUGAUUACCCCCUAGUGGGAGCAUUAAAACUUUGCAACCUCAAGUGUAAAGCUAUCGCAUACUCUAUUUCAACAGCUUUUUGUCUGUCCAUCAGGUACAGUAUGUCUGAUAUCAGCAACAAUUUUUCACAAUGUUUGUAUUUACAAUUCUCCCCCUAGUUCUACUACUACUAGACUGUUAACAUGGUCUAAAUGAGAUAAAAGGACGCCUGUAUCAUUUGUGGCCAAUGUUUUUUAUCCUUGUAUUAUAGGUAAGGUAAUAAUUUAACCUUUAUCCUCUCUCAUGUUUGGUCCUGGGAGUGAAAAACAUUUAAUCCCAUCUGCACUUGUCAUCAUCAAAUUUCUAAAAAUGUAAAAUCACGUUAAAUUUGUGACAGUGCGAAAGUAUUUUUGAAUUAUUUUGAAUUGAUGUAGUUAAAUCUGUGUGACAAAACUGCCUUAAAAAAGUGAUUUGAGCAAAGAUUAAAAAGAAAAAUCUAGUUAGAUACUCCAACCUAUUUCUCUUUUAGGUAACAAUAUACCACCAGAAGGAAACUCUAUAAUUUCCCCUGACCAUUACAGUUAGUUUAAAGAAUAUUAAUGAUUAAAGUACAAUAUGGUGAUAGGUUACAUACUCUCUCUCCAGGGGGUCCACGGACUCCUGCAGCACCAGGCUCUCCUCUGGCUCCUCUCUUGCCCUCCUCACCAGAAGAUCCUGGGGGUCCUUGAACUCCUGGGGCACCCUGGAGAUCACACACAUGGAUGGCAUGACAUCACAACAAAAUGUGUACAUAAAUAUAUAGAUAAAAAGAGAUAGAGAGUGAGGGGCUGUGUUUGAUGCUGACUGUGGGGAACUUACACCCUCUCCCUUGGCACCGGCCUCUCCCUUGGAUCCUGGGGCACCAACCUCACCCUGAAGAAAAGAAACAAAUAAGCCGACAUAAACAAACAAAAUAAAACAGUUCAACAAAAAAUAAUAUCAGUCAUGAAAAACGAAUAGACAAUCACAGGCCAAUUAAACAAUAACUGGUAAAGAUCUCAAUAACAAAUAAAUAAAAAGACAAUGAAACCCUAAAAAUCAACAACAACAACAACAACAGCAACAGCAACAACAGCAACAUAAGUAGUUAUUAUCAACAAACAUACAAAACACUGGAAGAAAAUGAAAUAUGUAGACUUAUUUUUGAUUUUGUCAAUCACAUUUGACAAAAUGUUUUGUCAAUCACAUCGUCAGUUUUAAGAAAAUACAAUUUUUGGCUUUGGUUGUGAGAGACUUUUACUCACAGUGUUUCCCUUUGGUCCGUUGGCACCAGCGGCUCCCUGAGCUCCUGGGGGUCCACGGGGUCCGGGGAAGCCUGGAGCUCCAGCAACUCCAGCAGCACCCUGCAGGGGGCAGCACACAACAACAACACAGUCACAUCAUGCUGUACUGUCCUGUCAGUAAUGAGUCUCUGUGGCUAUGCUUACUAUGAAACCCCAAUCCUGGCUGCUUUGUUAUUGCCUUGCCCAACCUAAUAAGCUAGACAGGGAUUCAAACCUUCAAGCCUGAUAUGCCUAUGCAGGAAAUGUGCUAGUAGAAAUACUCACAGGCACUCCCUUAGCACCGGGGGCUCCAUCAGUUCCGGGGUUUCCCUGAGAGGAGAAAGAAGGGGGACAUUGUAAUAAACAAUUUAGAAGCUGGACAUUGUGAUACCGUUAUAUAAUGAUAAAUGAAAGGCAGUCAAUGAGGAAGAUUUACUUUCUGUGAAUGUUAUUUUGUCUGAUGAGCUUAAAGUCUGUGGUCCAGAGUCAAAACAAUAUUUAGGGAAUUAUAGUUAGUACUUACAGAAGGUCCAGCGGCACCAGCAGGUCCGGGGUUUCCAGGCUCACCACGGGCUCCAGCAGGACCCUCGGGUCCACGAGUACCUUGAGCUCCGGCUUCACCCUGGGAAGAGGAGAAACAAAGAAAAGGACAUUGAUAAUUAUGUUCAAACCAACCCUUAGAUCUGACAGGGUCUAAUAUGUGCAUAAGUAAUAGAAAAUGCCAAUAUUAGAGAAGAAAAGUAAAAUAAAUAUAUAGUUUAAAAGGUGAGUGUGGUUGGUGUAAGGUAAGGUAAGGUAAGGUGCUUAUUAUUAUUGUUUUCCAGUCAUGACGAACUUCUUCAUCUUCAUUGCUGCUUUGCAUUGUGGGACAAUGGAUUGUGACAGGAGCACACGCAGCAACAAAGCUAAUUUAGCAUCUUAUCCCUUCUUAUCUCAAUUUACUUAUUAAGUAAACUUAAUUUUGUCACUUUUCCAGUACGAACUGCAUACCCCCAAGUAUUAUUGAAGUAGUAGUAUCGAAUUGGGGCAUGGCACAGAAUUCCUGAGUAUGAUACCCACACUAUUGGGUCAAAGGGGAAAUUAAAAAUUCAUAUGUCUACACACAUGUUAAGAGAAAUAUUUCCAAGCACUUCAAAAUAUGGUCAGUGCAAAGAGAAGAGGAGAUAGAAAAUAUCAUGUACAGUGUUGUCUCUUGGAUUGUGAAAGCCACAGAAGAUUAAGUAAGAUGUAAGUAAGCGAUGAAGAACAUUAAACACGGAGGAUGUGGAAGAUUAUUGAUUUGGAUCAUGUUGGGCUUAGUUGUACCUUGCUUCCGGGGCCACCAGGGAAUCCAGGGGGUCCAGCGGGGCCAGUGGGACCCUAAGAAGAAACAAUGAACAAAGGGGUUCAGACAAUCCAUCUAGCCAGGAAAGUAGCCAAGUAGCCAAUAAUUGCUCUGUUGCAUUAGAAGUUGUACAAUCAAAAAUGCUAAGCAAAGGAGAGAAUUGCAGGUUCCUGGAUGUUCAGGCUAAAAACUAAAGCUUCACUUCUGAGAGUAUUCUGAAAUUCUGGGAAGGGUUGAAAGUGUGGCGGACUUACGGGAGGUCCAGCAGCACCAGCGGCACCAUCGUUACCACGAGCUCCCUGCAGCAAACAAACAAACACGAUUGGUUGAUUUGCUCAUUGAUGGACUGAUUGGUUAGAUGUGUAAUGUGUUGAUCACUCACAGCAGCGCCAUUAGCACCGGUGCGGCCCCUCUCGCCAGGCAGACCACGAGGUCCCUGAGGUAGACAGAGUCAAGAGUCAGUCAGCCAUAUCAAAAAAAUCGAACGGGGAGAAAAGCCAAGUUGGCAACUCCAUACAGUUGAAGACGUGGGAUGUUUUGUUUCACUCACCAUAGCACCAGGGAUUCCAUUCUCACCAGCAGCUCCGGCCUCUCCCUAAACACACAGGGACACACAGGCAGGUGAGGCGAUGAGGGCGACACAACUAUUGCAUCUUUUUCUCAGUAUUAAUUCAACGAGCCAACACGGCUGCUAGAAGCUAAUGACUUGCCAACAUGGCUGCCACUAGGGCUGCUGCUUCAACACUACAGUGACCAUACUGUACUAUACUAACACCAAGACUUGCCACGGAAGGGCACAUUACAGAAGAGUUGGUGUUGGUUGCAUUAUGGGAAAUGUAGGCCAAUGUAAAUGUAAGCUAAUUUUAGGGAGUGAAAGUCGGGAUAUCAUAACUUCUGCAGGUUAAUCUGUGUAGAGAGUUCCCCAACUUUGUGGAAGCACCGUACUACUCACUGGAGUACCCCAUUACUUACAAUAUGAGUAAAGGAUGUUCUCCUGCUAUAACUACCAUCAAGUGCCUCUGUUAAAGCUACUACUUCUAUUGCUUCUGUUAGUGCUGCUACUGUAACAAAUGCUACUACCAUUCCUACUGCUGCUUAUUGCACCGUCAGUAAGUCUAUUACUGCUUAUUUUGCAGCUACUCCUCCUGCACCUAUUAUAGUGCUCCUGAGCUGGGCUGGAUGCGUAAAAUUCACACUUUUCUAUGCUGAGACAUGGCGUGAAGGAGCAAAAAGGCAAAAAAGGGACAGUCACCUUGGGUCCAGCAGGGCCAGAAUCUCCCUUGGCACCAUCCAGACCACUGAAUCCCUAAAGACAAAGACAGACAUUUGAUUAGUCCACACAAAUCAGUCACGGGAUGCUGCACUGUUGAUAUGCGGUUGGUGGAAUGGGGAGAUGAUCAAUUUUGACUCACUCUGUGUCCCUUGAUUCCGGGCAGACCAGGGGUUCCUGGGAAACCACGAGCUCCCUGAGAGAAAGAUAAGACAGGGGGACAGGAUUGACUUUCACAGCUCUGCUUUUAGUUUUUUUCACACAACAUCACAAUCGCAUUGUGUUGCCGUGGCAACUCACCUGUGGGCCGGAAGGUCCGCGCUCACCGCCACGACCGGGUUUGCCAGACUCACCCUGAGAGAAAGAAAGGGAGAGAAAGGGGAGCGAACAGACGGAUGAGGUCAUUCCGUAAUCCACGCAGAUAUCGGUUUUAGAAAAUGUGAAAAUAUAAGCAGGUCCUGUGAACUUACGUCCUCUCCGUUCUUUCCAGGAGGGCCAGCGGCACCACGAGGACCCAUGGGACCCUGUAGAGAAAGACACAGACAUGGUUCCUAUGGUGUUGAAAGCAGCAUUACACUCAGAGGUGACGCAGUCUAUGCCCCCACAACACGGACCAUGUGACCAACCAGGAAUUGGACUGGUGGUAGUCAUGUGACUACAGGAUACAGGAACUGGAUACAACCAAUCAAAGAGUGAAGAGGAUGGAAUGCAAUUCGUCUUUAAGGCAGAUCGAGAGAAGAAGGAAGAAGGGAGGAAAGCGCCACCUCAUCAUUCCCUGGUUCGACCUCCAGCUCUGAUCGGAUCCUCAGAGCGUCACACACACACACACACACACACACAUGCACACACAAUUCUGAUUUCAGGAGCAAAUCACAAAGCCUUAACGCACGACUGUUUGCGAGCAUUUUCACUAUGUGGUGUUUUCCGUUGCCUCUGUCAGCUGACAGUAACUAUCAGUAUAAGCAAUCUUUUUUAUGCAGUGUAACGUCUGCAGUUAAAAUGUAGGCGAGCUCAAGCCCGGGCGUACAAAAGAAAUGAGUUUAGGUAGUUGUUAGUCUUGUCCUGAACAGAAACACACAUUAGCUAGUGGUUUUUAAAAAACAGGAAUGAUUCAUUGCAGUGAAAAAAAUUAAGAUUUUUAUCGUAUAAAUGCUGUGCUAGUGUAAACAUUUAACAUGCGUAAACAUUCAAGCAGUUCUAAUCAAUUUUUUAUAUUAACAAUUGGUCACAUGACUACUUGUGGUUGGCUGUGGCCCAGGCGGUCCACUCACCAGAAGGUCAAUGGUCUGAUCCCCAUGUUCUCCAGUCCACGUUCCCAAGUGUCCUUGGGCAAGACACUUGACCCUCAAUUGCAAUUGACGGCUGCGCCGGCGGUGCAUGAAUGAUGUGUGAUAGAGAAGGGGCUGCAUUAAUGUGUGUGUGGGAAUGGGGGAAUGCGACUUGUACUGUACAGCGCUUUGAGUGGUCGACAAGACUAGAAAAGUGCUCUAUAAAUACAGUCUAUUUACCAUUUACUUGUAUGUAGAAGGGGGUUGCUGGUAUUGACGAACCCACAGCUAACGAUCACCCAAUUCUGUAGCUUCUCUCAGCUCCACAGAGGUUACUGUACGAAGCCUCUUUUAGCUCACUAGUUUGGUAUUAUGCAUGUCUGCAAAUCUCACUGCUUUAUAGGCCAAAUACAUGCUACCUGCCCCCAAAUUGUAGAGGGGUGAUGUUAGUGGAUCAUUUAUGAGCUAAUGAGCCAUGUACUGCUUUCAAGAAUUGGUGGAGACCAAAAAUAGAGCCAAAAGAGAGUGACCAAAAUAAAAGAGGAAAUGAGCAACUGCUUGCAUACAGGUUUAUAUUAACUCAAAAGAUCAUAUUAUGUCAUUAUAUUGUGUGAACAUCUUGUUUACCUUCAAGUGGCCAAAAAUCUAUUUAUGAAUUAAACAUCCAAUGCAAAUCUGGGAGAAAAUGUUGGAUGAAGGAUCAUAUUUCAUUUAAAAACACCUGAAUAGUUAGGAAACACUUUGAGAAUAAAAAAGGAGUUGUUGGUGCUUCUCAUUUUGAGUCAUAUUGUUGUGUUUUAUGCUCUAAGCAUUGAGCUAUUCCUUUGUGGGUACACUGGAAAAAAAACAGUAUUCUGAUAAAUGUUUUGGUCGAAUAAAAAUAUCAAGUGUUUUCUGCCUGAUACGAACAGUGACAGAGAGGUGGUUUGCACAGGUUGAACUCUAGCACAAAGUGAGAAGGUGCAAAGGAAACGUUGGCUGAACCUAUCUGAAAAGAAGACUCAAAUUCUUUUUCGUGGAAAAAAAAAAAUCUUUGUAAAGGAAUCUGAGGAGGCUGCACCUUCUUUUUCUCUGAGAAACCACGAAUGCUGUAGCAAAUGACUGAGGAUAUGACUGAGAUAAGAAUAAUAAUUAUUUUCUGAUUAUAAACUCUAGACAAUACAAUAACUCACAAAGAGAUGAUCCAGAGGCCGAUAAAUGAUUUGUCCCAUCACACAAAUGUGCAGGUCAGAUCUUGAACUACAAAGACCGAGCCACAGAUGAGAUGAAUUAUUGAUAUUGUUUGAUAAUGAUUAUCAUUUCAGUAUUUAAAGAUUUAUAUGUUAUCUGUGACAUUUUGAAGAAGAUCUAAGAAAUUAUUAUCAGGUUAACUAAUUACUAUUUUGCAAAAUAUACCUAACAAAUAUAAUGAAGAAAUUUAAUAACAAGACAUUCAAGGUGGGAUGAUUGUUUAUCAUAUAAAGAUCUUAAAAUGAAACUUGAGUAUGUUGCACUAACAAAAUGUAUCUGGAAUAUUAAAAUGCUGGUUUAGUCCCUAUGACUGAUAUAUUAUUAUACAUGGCAUCAUUAGAUGAUUAAUACUGAAGCAUCAUGUGUGAACAGUAUGUGAUUGUUGCAGAUUGGGGUAGCUACUUACUGUAAUAUACACUUUUAUAAACAGGGACACCACAUACAUCAGGGAUAAAUAAGUAAAAGGGAAAUAGUUCUGAUGUACAAAAUCUAUUUUCAGUUUUUUUGACUUCUUCUCUUAUCUGAACAAUGUUGGAUCAUAUGAAUAUUUAUUGAAAUGAAACCAUGUGAGAAGUUUAGAUGGAAACACUUUUUGGUGAAGGUUUUAACAAGUCAGAGACCUCUGAAAUGUUACAGUGACUACUCACACUGCCGUUUGUGAGACGUCAGAAUUAAAAAAAACCCACUGGUUUUAU